AUGGACGGUGUGGCGGUGGACGGUGCCCACGCCAGUCGCAUUCUGUGUUUUUAGUAGUUUUUUAUCGACCCUAUAUUUUGUGAUGACGCGGAACAGGACUGCUGAAUUCCUUGCUGAGGUCUUUCCUCAACGGACCUGCAGAUUCACCUUCGACAGUCAGUACCAGCCAGCCGUGAAGGAUGCGUCGACAGAUGACGUAGGAUUCUUGAGGAGUUCAGCGAAACACCCUCCUCCCACAACAGCUAGAGCCGCACUGACGAGGACCCCAGCAGCUAGCAGUUGUCUUCUACUUACACACUUCUCAUGGAUAGAGUUGGUACCCAAACAUACACGUCUACUUCUUCGAGCCUUCUUGGUUACCAUUAGAGAGGAAGAGAAAGAGAAGAUAUAAAAGAAGGGAGCUGCAAGAAGAUAGAUACAGGAAAAGAAGGAUGCUGCAAGAAGAUAUUGUGGAGGAAAAGAGCUGUAAGAAGAUGGAUAGAUACAAAAGAACAAAAGAGCUACAAGAUGAUACCUAGGUAGAGAAUGGAACAAGAGAGCUGCGAGAUGAUGGAAGCAGUCGCCACAAUGAGGACAUGUACACCUGCCUUGGUUGAAGAGAAGAUGAGACACAUGCGUUCACCAAAAGGAUUGGCUCGCAGUUCAGGGAGUGAGAGCAACUUGUCCAUAGGAAGCUUUGCAUUGCGGUUGUGGCCAACUUUCUCUAAUGCCAAAUUCUUGAAGCGUUUGUGAGCACUGAAGAAAAGUAAAAAUGAAUAAUAAUAAUGAUAACAAAUUACUAACAACCAAAGAUGAAUUCCACUGAAAAUAACAAUGCAAUUCUUAGAAGAUGAAGCAAGAGGUGCAAUGUCACACCAUGAACAAAUGUCCCAAACUAAAGAAAACAAGGAAUGUGGUAUUAAGGUCACUUCUUACAUAAUGUCCCCCUGGUGAAGCACAAAAUUAUGCCAAUGAAAUCAUAUACAAAGACAAAGAAGGCAGAAUAAUGAAAAUACAAAAUAGUAAAGAGAAGAAAUCCAAUUAAAUGUAAUAAAAAUUUUGAUGAAAGAUCAUGAAAACAUUUGUAUGACACUGCAAAGAAUAUAAAUUAAAUUCUAUGGGGUACAUUAAUGCAAAUAAACCUACACAGAGACACACCUUGUAAAGUAUUCCCAGCUAGUUAUUUCAAAUUCAGCAAUAGUGUGAGAACAGGCCUGAGUUACAUAAUAAACUAUAAAAGCUGCUGAA